UACGGAGGGUGCUAGCGUUGUUCGGAAUCACUGGGCGUAAAGGGCGUGUAGGCGGCCUGCUAAGUCUGAUGUGAAAUCCCCUCGCUCAACGAGGGAACUGCGUCGGAUACUGGCAGACUCGAGUACCGGAGAGGAAGGUGGAAUUCCCGGUGUAGCGGUGAAAUGCGUAGAUAUGGGGAGGAACACCGGUGGCGAAGGCGGAUCUCUGGGCCUUACCUGACGCUCAGGUGCGAAAGCUAGGGGAGCGAACAGG
rnacentral:rRNA from 1 species